AACUAACCCAAUACGAUGGGACUGAAAGAACUUCACCUGCAUUUUGAAAUGAAAAUAUGUUGGUGUGGAUGUAGCCCGAGUCUCCAGACGUCCUGUGAAAUAAUAGAUGCCUGACUGGAUCUGUUUGGGUUCAUACUGUCCUGCACAGAACCACGACCCAGAUCAGAGAACCCGCUAAAGCCCGUCCUCUCUCUGCCCAGCGUCUUGGCGAGGAUCUGGCGGCGAGGCGAGGCGGGGCGCGGUUCGGUGUUUUUGGCCGGUUGAGUCACGACCACAGGGGACUGAGCGGAGGCCUGGCAGGGCAACGGCGGCCUCCACUUCAAACGGCGUGCGGUGGCGAGCGGAGCCGGGAUCCACCCUGCUGAUUUAUUAGGAUACAGAGUCACAGAGCAGCAGGCUGGAGCUGCCGCUGGAACACUGAGGUGUUGUUCUGCACUUUUACUGAGCAGCUGUCUGGACAAUGUAGCCGGCUGCAUGGGAAAGUUCACCCAGCAGAACAUGUGAAAAUUAUGGUGCAGCGGCUGUGCAGGGCAGGGCCGAGGGCGACGCUUUCCUGGGAAAACAACUUCAGCUUUAAGAUAGCAGCAUCUUGUGCUCCUCCCUGUUGGUAGAUUAAUCACUUUUAUGAUCCUCUUCUGUCACUUUUUUGCACACAUCAUGUGUUAUCCUGUAUAAUUUCAUCACAAAAGCCAAUGUUUUCUUUCCUGCAAAGUGUCAAAACGUUACUGUGUCCUGUCCCGUCUUCUAUGCUGCACAUAGACUGUAUAUAAAGUGGACGUAGCAUCUGGCUCCAGAAUUGAAGCAAACCCGGAAGUGUCAAAAACUUGCAAUAUCACGCCGUCCGCUAGGGUUGGCUCCAAAAAGCUUUUUCUCCAUCGUCCCCAAUUCAUUUUUGGAAAAAAUAAAAUUUGAUAGACUGAUGUUCUACAGCUCAGGAUUUUUUUCCCGUUAGUUUUCAUGGUCAAAAUGAGAGAUCAGGUGGCCGAUCUUAAAAUAAAUCAAUACUGAAUUUUAAAUAAAUCGUUAAAGUUGGUGGAGCCAGGGGGCGUGGCUAUACUUGAUUGACAGCAACAGAAGCCUCUGCGGCAAAAUGUGGGCGGGAUAAGAGAGUCCUCAGCCAAUCCUGCCCCUAGUUGCUCUCUGGUCCAGCCUGUUUGAUGACGCUUUUUACGUCACUGGCUCCAAAAAAUCCAAAACGGCGACCAGGAAGUAGCAAAAUCCGGGCUUCAUUUUCUCGGCGUUGAAACCAACGGGUGACGUCACGGUUAGUUUAUGCCUGGUGCUGCAUGUUCUUAAUGGUUCAAACUCAAAUUAAGACACAGAAGGUCCUGUCAGAGUGUUAGAUUAGCUGAUGUUAUUGGACUCCGUUAAUCAUGCUCUGAGGCGUUAAUCUGUACAAAUACACCAGAUUUCAUGUUUGUUUUUAUCCACAACGUUGAAUCUUUGACCAAUCAAACCGAAACUAUCAGUGAAAUUAGUGGAGUUGAGCAAAAACUACAGUAUUUGCAUCUUAAAUAUGAAUCAUCUGAACAUCAAAACUUGCCAGUGGGUUUCAAUUGAAUUUUAUUUAUAUAGUGCAAAUUCACAACAUACACUAGCAUUCAAAAGCUUGGGGUCACCCAGACAAUUUCAUGUUUUCCAUGAAAACUAACACUUUCAUUCAUGUGCUAACAUAAUUGCACAAGAGUUUUCUAAUCAUCAAUGAGCCUUUCUACACCAUUAGCUAACACAAUGUACCAUUAGAACACAGGAGUGAUGGUUGCUGGAAAUGUUCCUCUGUACCCAUAUGUACCCAUUUCCAGCUAGAAUAGUCAUUUACCACAUUAACAAUGUCUAGACUCUAUUUCUGAUUAAUUUAAUUUUAUCUUCAUUGAAAAAAAAAAUAAGGGCAUUUCUAGGUGACCCAAAUUUUUUGAACAAUAGUGCAAAUGUCACAUUACAACAAUUAAAAACAGCUCUUCGUGUGCAACUAUAUCAUGUUAGCUCUGGUCUUCUCACCCUAUAACUUUAUGAGUGCAAUAACAGAAAUGUAGCACUAAUAUUCUGCAGUGCAAUAUUUUUGGGUACGAUGUGCUAAAAAUAAGAGAUGAUAUAAUUAUGGAAAAUGCUAUUAGACUGAAGACCAGAAGUAAAACAUGUGUACUCAAAACACAAUGAUAUAAAUGUAUUAUAAGUUAUGUAUUGGAAUAAUAAAUUGAUCACAAAAUAAUAAGGGUAAGAUGUAGAGCAAAAAAAUCUGAACAUGUCUGGGCAUGUUCUCUGUAAAAGAUGACCUAAUGAUAACUGUCUGUGCACGUCUUCUGUAGAGUGAGAUGUAGGUUGAAAUAUGAUAACCUGACGUAAUGAUCUGACCAAUAGAUUUAGAAAGCUAUAAUGGUGUCAAAACUGUCUCUUCUAUCAUACGCCCUAUAGAUAUGGAAAAAUGACCAACGCUCACAGCAUAAAUGACGCCGCACAGCUCAGUAUCUUCAGUUCUUAUUCGGGUGUUAUCAAUGUUAAGAAUUACUCGUGGAUUUUUUGUCGACAAAUAAAUCUUGUUGCCCUCCAUAUGAUGACUUCUGUUGGGGAUUUUUUUUGAAGAAAAAACUUUUUAGAUGUUUGAAACACGGUCAAGUCAUGGACUCUGGCCUUGAUUUGUAACUGAGUUUACACUUUGUCAAUAAAAGCACAAUUCUACUCAUGUACAUUAGCCAUCAUGCCAUUUCUGUACACAUGAAAGAUGUGUAUAUUGCACCUUUAUUUUGAGCUUUAUUGUACUUUUUGGCUUCUUCAAUGCCUCAUUUAUAUCUAAGAUGUGAAUUCCCCACAUAAAAGAUCACCAACGUUUAUCUAAGCUUUAUCUUAUUCCUUUUGCACCACACCAGUCUUGGAACUUUUUGAUCGACCAUACCGUACUUUGCCGUCCUGUCAUUUGUCAUUAAACUGUGUUUGUCGUGUCACAUCAUCGUACAUUGUGUUACAUAACGGCACCUCCAUUAUCUGCACACUUUACUUGUGAAGCUGAGUUUGCCGGAGGUUAAAAGCAGCUGCAGUAAACUGUUAAUGAUGCGCCUCUGAGCAGCUCAUUACUUUUCAUUAGGGAGAGGUGUCACGGCUGUUUGUCUUUUGUCUCGAACAAAGCGGCAGAUUCCCACCAUGACGGACCAACAGCUCUUCCCUGUCGCGGUUAAUUAAAUUCCAGAAAGAGAUGCGGUCGCAUGGAGGAGGAACAUUUCUACUCCACUGUGUCACCGGCUUCUCUGUCCAAACAGUCAGAACAUCCCCAGGGGAGCUGGUAGAUAUUUCCUGAGAUAGAAUGAGUUUUAAAAAAGGAGGCUGCUGACCUCACCCACAAAGCAGAUAGACAGAGGAGUGAUGUCAUGCUCUCAGCCUAAAAUGGGAAUGUCAGAAGUCCAAGACCGGCCUGUUUCCUCAGAUUUGAAACAUAGGAAGCUGCUCUAAAAACAAAACCGAUGCAACCGUUUGUCUCCUGAUUUAGUGUAAUCUUUAACCCUCUGAACCCUAAAACUCACCGGUAGGUUUGAAAGGCAUGCUGUCUUUAAAAGAUCGCCAAAUUGACACAAUUCACCAGAGUCAGAAACUGUAAAUACAGAAAUAAUUGUUGGAUUUCAAUAAAUUAUGUGAAUUAAAGUAGUAUAUUUUCCACUUGCAUGAAAAUAGUAACCGUCUAAACCACAAAACAUUUGCAGCACAAACUUUCUUUCUAAAAUAAUCUGCAAAAAUACAACAUUUAUGACAGCAGCAAGCUGGAAAACAGAGAAAUUGUACAGAUUUCAAACUUUUCAAGUAUUCUUGAGCCACUAAUCUGUGACUUUCUGUUUCAUUGGGAAUAUUAACCAGCCUAAUCACAAAGCCAUGACUCAGCAACAGUCCCAUAAUGAAAAUUAAUCAACUAUUCAACUGAACUGCAGGCCAUGUAUUUAUACAGAGAAGACAGUUAUGGAAACAAAUUAAGAAUGUGAGAAGUAAAAUAUCUAUAGCAGGUGGAGUUACCAUUUUUUCCCAUCAUUGUUAACAUCUGUAGGCACAUGGGAAAAGACUUGACUUGGUGAUUCCAUUUUUUUUUUUUUUUUUUUUUUGUAAAUCAAUAAUUGAAAAAAACUAACAAUUCUGGCCGUUAUUUAAAAUGGUUUACGGCAUUCUACCUGUGUCAUACUGUACAAAAGACACUUUUAAGCUCUUUCUCUUUCUAGUCAUGUUUGUCCUGCUUCCAUAGAGGUGCAGGGGUUUAUAUUGCUGUGAAAAAUGAGCCCACAGUGAGUAAAAAUAUGAUAUGAGUUGGGUCAUAACGCAAAAAUGUUCCUACUGUGGGGCUUUGCAGAAUUAUUUGUGAAUAAUUGGCUGAUAUUGCAAUUUUGUACUGGAAUAAAUUAAACAAAAAGUGCUUUAGAAUCAA